CAGGGCCAUGAGACGCCUUGUAAAGUGCCACAUAAAAGUCGUUACGAAGAAAUGUGACGAGGAAUUUGCCAACUUUAUCAAGAAUACGUUGGUCGACUCGCUGUCAAAGGCGAUGCCCGAAGUCCAUUAUGUCGAUUCUCGAUAGAGCUCCCACUGAC